rnacentral:sRNA from 1 species
CGAUUCGAGCGCAGCGAGAAAGCGUUGCCGCAGGCAACGACCCGAAGGGCGAGGCGCAACGCGCCGAGUAAUCCUUCCCCCACCACCA